CGCCUACGUGAAGGAGGAAUCGCUAGUAAUCGCACGUCACCAUACUGCGGUGAAUACGUUCCCGGGCCUUGUACACACCGCCCGUCACACCAUGGAAGUUGGCCACGCCCGAAGCCGUUACUCCAACCCUUGUGGAGGAGGACGUCGAAGGUGGGGCUGAUGACUGGGGUGAAGUCGUAACAAGGUAUCCGUACCGGAAGGUGCGGAUGGAUCACCUCCUAA
rnacentral:rRNA from 1 species